rnacentral:rRNA from 1 species
AUUGAACGCUGGCGGCAGGCCUAACACAUGCAAGUCGAGCGGAUGAAGGGAGCUUGCUCCUGGAUUCAGCGGCGGACGGGUGAGUAAUGCCUAGGAAUCUGCCUGGUAGUGGGGGAUAACGUCCGGAAACGGGCGCUAAUACCGCAUACGUCCUGAGGGAGAAAGUGGGGGUUCUUCGGACCUCACGCUAUAAGUUAACCCUAGGUCGGAUUAGCUAGUUGGUGGGGUAAAGGCCUACCAAGGCGACGAUCCGUAACUGGUCUGAGAGGAUGAUCAGUCACACUGGAACUGAGACACGGUCCAGACUCCUACGGGAGGCAGCAGUGGGGAAUAUUGGACAAUGGGCGAAAGCCUGAUCCAGCCAUGCCGCGUGUGUGAAGAAGGUCUUCGGAUUGUAAAGCACUUUAAGUUGGGAGGAAGGGCAGUAAGUUAAUACCUUGCUGUUUUGACGUUACCAACAGAAUAAGCACCGGCUAACUUCGUG